CCUAAAAUAAAUGGGGGAAGAGAUGGCAUUGACUGACUUUCAUCAGAAUAACAGAAGGGUAGGGAGAUAGCAGACAGUCUUCCAUGAGAUAACAUAGUGGAGAAGGCAGGCUUUUCCUCAAUGCUGCAUCAUUGAAUAAUCAACUUACCAUAAGAAUAUCCUUCUUUGUUCUUAAUUUGUACAUUGCCAUUUAAAAUAAUGAUUCCACCCCCUCCAUUUCCUCUGUGUGCAGAUGCAAGGAGCCUCCUUGAGGACUCUGAAGAGCUGGGAGAUGAUUAUUAUUAUUAUUUAUUUCUUAGCAGACGCCCUUAUCCAGGGCGACUUACAAUUGUUACAAGAUAUCACAUUAUACAUUAUUUCACAUUAUACAGAUAUCACAUUUUUUUUACAUACAAUUACCCAUUUAUACAGUUGGGUUUUUACUGGAGCAAUCUAGGUAAAGUACCUUGCUCAAGGGUACAACAGCAGUGUCCCCCACUGGGGAUUGAACCCACAACCCUCCGGUCAAGAGUCCAGAGCCCUAACCACUACUCCACACUGCUGCAAUGAUGAUUACCAGGCCAGCAAGAGAGAACUGGAUCUCAGCAACACUGUGGAAGACUCAGAGGAGCAGGAAGGAGCACUGGAGAACAAGAGAGCGCUGGAGGCAGAGGAUUCAGGCGACAGUGAUGCUGAACUGGACAGUGAUGGACUCAAAGGAGAGCGGGAGUUGGGAGACAAUAUGAUGGAGAAAAGAGCUGACAUGGAUUCUGAAGUGGUCCUGACACAGUCCAUGGUAGUGAAGAAGGAUGCCCUGUCCAAAAGAUACUACAGAAGUAAGUGUGUGUCUCUCUGGAGCUGGCUCCUGGUUUGGGUGAACUGCAUGGAUUGUAGACUGCAGGUCAAUUGAUUGAAGACAUUGAGAAACACUUCAGUAUUACAGCAUAUUCUACCAUGGAGUGGUUUCAUAGUUCUGGACAAA